GGAUGUGUGCCUGAAUAAAGGACUACUUUGAUAGAGUAGAACACAGGAGCUUAAAUCUCCUCACCUCCU
rnacentral:tRNA from 1 species